UUUUUUUGCCGUAUUUCUCCUAUAUUUUGUGGUUAAAGUGGAGGACCAACAGAUCGUAGACAUUUGCGGCACCCUCAGUGAAGAGCAAGGAUUCCACCAGCUGCGCCCUGACCCAUGGGACAACCAUCGAUAAAAACCAACCCCCAGUGUGCUGUAAUCGUGUAUCGUGUCCAGCAUUAAAUGUUACACUCAGCCGUGAUUGAGGCGAACAUCAUUUGUGUAUACCAUUUAUGACCCAUUUAGAUAAAAAGACAACAGUUAAUGAGAGCCGCGACGCGCCUUGGCAACAAUCUAAUCAGGGGAGGCGAAUAGUUAUCUAGAGGUUACGAUCUCUCGUUGAAUUGAGCCACUUGCAGGGUGCAGCGUGUGUACCCCUCAGAGUUUCACUAGGUCAAAGUCGGCUGUGAAGUUUCUUCGCUUUCCUAAUCGUCUGACUGCGCUUCCAACCUCUUUCUUUAUGCCUUGGAGGGGAUUUUUCAAUACCUAUUUAUAGAACUCAAACUGGUUAUGGCCGCCUAAUUGGGCAUUUAG